rnacentral:rRNA from 1 species
GGCUACGAGGACGACGCUGGCGGCGUGCCUAACACAUGCAAGUCGAGCGGGAAGCUUUUAAUGAGACUUCGGUUGAUUUUAGAAGUGGAGAGCGGCGGACGGGUGAGUAACGCGUGAGUAACCUGCCUUCAAGAGGGGGAUAACACAGAGAAAUUUGUGCUAAUACCGCAUGACACCGUAGUGUCGCAUGACACAUCGGUCAAAGAUUUAUCGCUUGAAGAUGGACUCGCGUCUGAUUAGAUAGUUGGUGAGGUAACGGCUCACCAAGUCGACGAUCAGUAGCCGAACUGAGAGGUUGAUCGGCCACAUUGGGACUGAGACACGGCCCAGACUCCUACGGGAGGCAGCAGUGGGGGAUAUUGCACAAUGGGGGAAACCCUGAUGCAGCAACGCCGCGUGAAGGAAGAAGGUCUUCGGAUUGUAAACUUUUGUCUUAUGGGAAGAAGAAAGUGACGGUACCAUAGGAGGAAGCCACGGCUAACUACGUG